rnacentral:rRNA from 1 species
UUAGAGUUUGAUCCUGGCUCAGGAUGAACGCUAGCUACGGGCUUAACACAUGCAAGUCGAACGGAUUCUGGAUUCGUCUGGAAUUAGUGGCAAACGGGUGAGUAACACGUAUCCAACCACCCUGCGACUCGGGGAUAGCCUCUUGAAAGGGAGAUUAAUAUCCGAUGUACUGUUUUUGGUGCAUGCCAUUUUCAGUAAAGUUUUUUUACGGUCGCUGACGGGGAUGCGUUCCAUUAGAUAGUCGGUGUGGUAACGGCUCACCGAGUCUAUGAUGGAUAGGGGUUCUGAGAGGAAGGUCCCCCACAUUGGAACUGCGACACGGUCCAAACUCCUACGGGAGGCAGCAGUGAGGAAUAUUGGUCAAUGGGCGAAAGCCUGAACCAGCUAUGUAGCGUGAAGGAUGACUGCCCUAUGGGUUGUAAACUUCUUUUGUUCGGGAAUAACAGACUUCACUUGUGGAGUUUUGCAUGUACCGUUCGAAUAAGGAUCGGCUAACUCCGUGCCAGCAGCCGCGGUAAUACGGAGGAUCCUAGCGUUAUCCGGAAUUAUUGGGUUUAAAGGGUGCGUAGGCGGCCAUUUAAGUCAGCGGUGAAAUUUUGCAGCUUAACUGUAACAGUGCCGUUGAUACUGUUUGGCUAGGAUUUGGUUGUAGUGUGCGGAAUGUGUGGUGUAGCGGUGAAAUGCUUAGAUAUCACACAGAACACCGAUUGCGAAGGCAGCACACUAAGUCAUUAUUGACGCUGAGGCACGAAAGUGUGGGGAUCAAACAGGAUUAGAUACCCUGGUAGUCCACACUGUAAACGAUGAUAACUCGCUGUCGGCGAUACACAGUCGGUGGCCAAGCGAAAGCAUUAAGUUAUCCACCUGGGGAGUACGACCGCAAGGUUGAAACUCAAAGGAAUUGACGGGGACCCGCACAAGCAGCGGAGCAUGUGGUUUAAUUCGAAGCAACGCGAAGAACCUUACCAAGGCUUGACAUCCCCUUGACAGAUGCAGAGAUGUGUCCUCUCCUUCGGGAGCAAGGGAGACAGGUGGUGCAUGGUUGUCGUCAGCUCGUGCCGUGAGGUGUCGGGUUAAGUCCCAUAACGAGCGCAACCCUCGUCGAUAGUUGCCAGCAUGUAAUGAUGGGGACUCUAUCGAGACUGCCGGUGUAAACCGUGAGGAAGGUGGGGAGGACGUCAAAUCAGCACGGCCCUUACGUCCAGGGCUACACACGUGUUACAAUGGUCGGUACAGUGGGCAGCUACUCAGCGAUGAGAUGCUAAUCCCAAAAACCAUUCUCAGUUCGGAUCGAAGUCUGCAACUCGACUUCGUGAAGCUGGAUUCGCUAGUAAUCGCGCAUCAGCCACGGCGCGGUGAAUACGUUCCCGGGCCUUGCACUCACCGCCC